rnacentral:rRNA from 1 species
UACGUAGGGUGCAAGCGUUAAUCGGAAUUACUGGGCGUAAAGCGUGCGCAGGCGGUUAUGUAAGACAGGUGUGAAAUCCCCGGGCUUAACCUGGGAACUGCAUUUGUGACUGCAUAGCUAGAGUACGGUAGAGGGGGAUGGAAUUCCGCGUGUAGCAGUGAAAUGCGUAGAUAUGCGGAGGAACACCGAUGGCGAAGGCAAUCCCCUGGACCUGUACUGACGCUGAUGCGCGAAAGCGUGGGGAGCAAACGGG